AACGAACGCUUGCGGCAUGCCUAACACAUGCAAGUCGAACGAGACCUCCGGGUCUAGUGGCGCACGGGUGCGUCACGCGUGGGAACCUGCCCUUAGGUUCGGAAUAACUCUCCGAAAGGGGUGCUAAUACCGGAUAAUGUCUUCGGACCAAAGAUUUAUCGCCUUUGGAUGGGCCCGCGUUGGAUUAGCUAGUUGGUAGGGUAAAAGCCUACCAAGGCGACGAUCCAUAGCUGGUCUGAGAGGAUGAUCAGCCACACUGGGACGGAGACACGGCCCAGACUCCUACGGGAGGCAGCAGUGGGGAAUAUUGGACAAUGGGCGAAAGCCUGAUCCAGCAAUGCCGCGUGAGUGAUGAAGGCCUUAGGGUUGUAAAGCUCUUUUACCCGGGAUGAUAAUGACAGUACCGGGAGAAUAAGCUCCGGCUAACUCCGUG
rnacentral:rRNA from 1 species